rnacentral:rRNA from 1 species
UAACGAAUCUUCCGCAAUGCACGAAAGUGUGACGGAGCGACGCCGCGUGGAGGACGAAGUCCUUCGGAAUGUAAACUCCUGUCAGGGGAAAGAAAGUUCUGAUCUACCCCAGAGGAAGAGGCGGCUAACUCUGUGCCAGCAGCCGCGGUAAUACAGAGGCCUCGAGCGUUAGGCGGAAUCACUGGGCUUAAAGCGUGUGUAGGCGGACUUCUAAGUACCUUGUGAAAUCCCACGGCUUAACCGUGGAACCGCUCGGUAUACUGGUCGUCUUGAGCCACUUAGGGGCUACCGGAACAAAUGGUGGAGCGGUGAAAUGCGUAGAUAUCAUUUGGAACGCCAAUGGUGAAAACAGGUAGCUGGGAGUGUGCUGACGCUGAGACACGAAAGCCAGGGGAGCGAACGGGAUUAGAUACCCCGGUAGUCC